rnacentral:rRNA from 1 species
UACGAGGGGGGCGAGCGUUGUUCGGAAUUAUUGGGCGUAAAGGGUGCGUAGGCGGUUUGGUAAGUCUGAUGUGAAAUCUAUGGGCUCAACUCAUAGUCUGCAUCGGAAACUGCCGGGCUUGAGUGUGGGAGAGGUGAGUGGAAUUCCUGGUGUAGCAGUGAAAUGCGUAGAUAUCAGGAGGAACACCUGUGGCGAAAGCGGCUCACUGGACCAUAACUGACGCUGAUGCACGAAAGCUAGGGGAGCAAACAGG